UCCCCUUUUUUCCCUUUAACCUUAAACUUUCUUCUCCCUCAACUCUCUGUCUCUUGGCCUCCCUUGCCUCCUACCCCACCCCAAUGGCCCCCUCUGCACCGAACCCACACCGGUGACUGACCUAGCCCCUGUGGUGGUUAAUUCCUCAUUCUCCCAUCGUUUAGGGGCUGCCCGUGUUGUGACAAUGGCAGCACCGAGGAAUGUGUUGAGGGACAAAGGCAGUGUUGCUGUGGCAUUGCUGCUUUGGGGGUUUUCUUGAUCUUUUCUACUUGUUUGUUAUGCACCUACCUGUUUCUGUUUGUUUUUUUCUUUAUUAAAUUCUUUUGGGUUAUUUUUUAUGCUUGGAGUUUUGAGAUAAGCUUGUAUUUGUGUUAAAUCUUUAUGGGUUUGAUGAAUAUUGUAUGUGCAAUAUUUAAUUGCCUUCUAGUGCUUAUCUUUGCACUUUGUAUGUGUAAUAGUGUUUCCUCUUUGAAAUC